rnacentral:rRNA from 1 species
UACGUAGGGUGCGAGCGUUAAUCGGAAUUACUGGGCGUAAAGCGUGCGCAGGCGGUUUUGUAAGCCAGAUGUGAAAUCCCCGGGCUUAACCUGGGAAUGGCAUUUGGGACUGCAAGGCUUGAGUGUGGCAGAGGGGACUGGAAUUCCUGGUGUAGCAGUGAAAUGCGUAGAGAUCAGGAGGAAUACCGAUGGCGAAGGCAGGUCCCUGGGCUGACACUGACGCUCAUGCACGAAAGCGUGGGGAGCAAACAGG